AUGUGCCCUGACCAGGAAUCAAACCCACAACCUUGGGGUAUUAGGACGAUGCUCUAACCAACCUAGCAAUCCGGCCAGGGCCCAUCUGGCUGUUAAAGUUUU